rnacentral:rRNA from 1 species
AGGAUAAACGCUGGCGGCGUGCUUAAUACAUGCAAGUCGAGCGGCAGCAUGGUCUUCGGACUGAUGGCGAGCGGCGGACGGCUGAGUAACGCGUAGGAACGUACCCCAAAGUGAGGAAUAACUGCCCGAAAGGGUAGCUAAUGCCGCAUGUGGUCUUCGGAUUAAAGCUUUAUGCGCUUUGGGAACGGCCUGCGUACGAUUAGCUUGUUGGUGAGGUAAUGGCUCACCAAGGCAAUGAUCGUUAGCUGGUCUGAGAGGGUGAACGGCCACACUGGGACUGAGAUACGGCCCAGACUCCUACGGGCGGCAGC